CCUACGGGGGGCAGCAGUGGGGAAUAUUGGACAAUGGGGGCAACCCUGAUCCAGCCAUGCCGCGUGUGUGAAGAAGGCCCUCGGGUUGUAAAGCACUUUCAGUGAGGAAGAACGCCUGGUGGUUAAUACCCAUCAGGAAAGACAUCACUCACAGAAGAAGCACCGGCUAACUCCGUGCCAGCAGCCGCGGUAAUACGGAGGGUGCCAGCGUUAAUCGGAAUUACUGGGCGUAAAGCGCGCGUAGGUGGCUUGAUAAGCCGGUUGUGAAAGCCCCGGGCUCAACCUGGGAACGGCAUCCGGAACUGUCAAGCUAGAGUGCAGGAGAGGAAGGUAGAAUUCCCGGUGUAGCGGUGAAAUGCGUAGAGAUCGGGAGGAAUACCAGUGGCGAAGGCGGCCUUCUGGACUGACACUGACACUGAGGUGCGAAAGCGUGGGUAGCAAACAGGAUUAGAUACCCGAGUAGUC
rnacentral:rRNA from 1 species